rnacentral:pre_miRNA from 1 species
UCUAACUCGUCGGUAGUCAUCGUUCUAGCUGAAAAGGACACUAUGACACUGAAGCGAGUUGGAAA